rnacentral:rRNA from 1 species
GAUGAACGCUGGCGGCGUGCCUAAUACAUGCAAGUCGAGCGAACAGACGAGGAGCUUGCUCCUCUGACGUUAGCGGCGGACGGGUGAGUAACACGUGGAUAACCUACCUAUAAGACUGGGAUAACUUCGGGAAACCGGAGCUAAUACCGGAUAAUAUAUUGAACCGCAUGGUUCAAUAGUGAAAGACGGUUUUGCUGUCACUUAUAGAUGGAUCCGCGCCGCAUUAGCUGGUUGGUAAGGUAACGGCUUACCAAGGCAACGAUGCGUAGCCGACCUGAGAGGUGGAUCGGCCAAAUGGGAACGGAGACACGGUCCAAACUCCAAGGGGGGGCAGCGGGGGGGAAUCUGCCGCAAGGGGCGAAAGCCUGACGGGGCAACGCCGGGGGGGUAAAGAAGGUCUUGGGUUUGAAAAACCCUUUUAUUGGGAGAAAAGGAAGUUAGAAAAAACUUUGCCGUUUUGACGGUAACAAAAGAAGAAGCCCCCGCCAAAUUCGGG